UACCAGCACCCCGAGUGGUCGGGACGAUUAUUGGGCCUAAAGCAUCCGUAGCCGGUCCUGCAAGUCUUCCGUUAAAUCCAGCUGCUCAACAGAUGGGCUGCGGGGAUACUACAGGGCUAGGAGGCGGGAGAGGCAAGCGGUACUUUAUGGGUAGGGUAAAAUCCGUUGAUCCAUAGAAGACCACCAGUGGCGAAGGCGGCUUGCCAGAACGCGCUCGACGGUGAGGAUGAAGCUGGGGGAGCAACCGG
rnacentral:rRNA from 1 species